CUGUGAAUCAAGUUGAUGAUGGGAGAAUGGAGAGGCUGUAAAUGCCAGGACCUUAUGUACACAAAUGGCCCAGCUCUUACAUUUUCUAUGAAAAGGGAGCUAUAGACCGCUAGUACUAUCUCUGCUGGCUUAAGUUGGGUUUUCCGCUUUAUCUGUUUCUCCAUCUAUGAUAUUAUGAAUAAAUCCAAAUAUGUUCCCUCAUGGGGAUACUGCAAGAACAGGAGACAGUAUACGUGAAGUACUUAAGGUUCUCAAGAGGACAGACUGAAGUGUGUAACUAUGGUGAUGCCAAUGACUCUAUGGUCUACAGCUUUCUGGUGCCAUCUAGUGCUUUUUUAGAAAUAAUGCGCUCUUGGCUACAGAAGAAACUGCAUCAUAGUGUUAUAUAGAUUUGGAGAUGAAAGGGACCUCUAAAGCCAGGGAGUUCGAACCUCUCAUUAUAUAGGGACAGCUCUUUCUCUGAUGAAGUCAGGCUUCCUGGCUAAGAGGACGAAGGGGCUUCAGACAGAACAACAAACCAAUGUCACAGAGUCCUGAUUAAUAAAUGGAGUCUGUCCUUUACACCUCCCACCUGGCCCGCAUGUUUCUUUCUCUCUUCAUACUUGGCCAGAAUCUAAACACAGCAGUGGAUGCAGGCGGUCGUGGCAAGUGGCGCCCAAACAGGGACCUGAACAAGAACCUGAACCAGGAUCCUAUCAGGGGCAGGGAGCCUGAAAGAGUGGUUUCCCCCGGCGAGUAGCCCUGGACAAGGUGGGCUGUUUGGCCACUCUGGUCAUUGCACAAAAGACAACGACUAAGAAAACUUUGAUAAACCUGUCUGGAUACCAGAGAAAAAUGUCCGAGCGUGCACCACAACUCACAGCUCAAAUGCAAAGUAUGAGAAUUCAGGGAAAGCGCAGAAGGAACCGAUCUGUAGUGACAAAUCGCCUUCCCACAUGGGGUCCAGUGAAAGCUCCCUCUCAUCCAGCAAUGGAAACUCCUGAACUUGUAUUUUUAGCAAUAGUAACUUUACUUUCUGCUCAAGUGCGUAAUACACAGAGUGCUCAGCACUGGACUUAUUUUCCUUUUCACCCUGGUUGCAACCCCUCACAUAUAUGGACAAAUUGGGAACUAUAUAUACUAAUAACACCUGUAUAUUUAGGAGACAAGAAUAUCCCUUUCUCCAGGACAGAGCCAAUGUUACAAUUACCCUCAGAUCUCUAGCAUUCAGGACACCUAUAUGUUUUACAAAAGUUAGCAACAAUAUUGAACCCUGUCUUUUUCUUAUUACAUCAUUUUUUAAUACCAGUUUGCUUGUUGGAUAUAUAAAUUUCACUCAAUUUAGUACUACUUUUGAAUAGAAUGUUACUUGUGUCAAUUGUACUCUCAAACAAUGUAUUGAUAAUGAUGACUAUAUUGUACUUUUGGUAGAAAAAUCAUCAUUUGCUAUUUUCCCUACUAACAUCUCACAUGAAUAGUUCCAGAAUUCUGGUGAACAUGCUCCUCAAAUUAUUACUUCCUCCUUAAGUCAAUCAAAACAAUUUAUUGGUUUCCUUAUUACUGGUUUAAUCAUUGUUGCUUCUCUUAUUGUAUCUACUACUGUUUCAUCUAUUGUGCUACAAUCUGAAAUUCAAACUGCACACUUUGUAAAUGACUUAGCAAAAAAUAUAAGCUUAGCACUUAAAACACAAGAAGCUAUUGAUAGAGAUAUACUGUACAAAGUCAAUUUAUUAGAGGAAUCAGUAUUGUAUUCAGGAGAUGAGUUAGAAACCUUGAAAACAAUGUUGCUAUUGAAAUGUAUUAUAGCUAUUCUUUUAUCUGUGUGACACCCUAUGUGUAUAGGAAUUUCACUAAUGAUAAUGUAACUAUUGAACAAAUAUUAAAUAAGCUCCAGAGUGCAUGGCACUCUGAAAAUAUUACAUGGGAACUUAGUCAAUUAUCCAAAAUACAACAUGAAAUAGCUGAUAUUCAUAUUGAUGGUAUUGAUCCUCAAGAUAUUGCAAACAAAUUGUUAAAUUGGAUAGAUCAACUUAAUCCUUUUAAAAAUGUAUUUGGCUAGCUAUUGAAUUUUCUACCUUGGCUAUGUUUUAUAUUAGUUUUAUGUUUCCUUCUUCCCUGUCUUUUAAGAUACACUCACCACAUCUUAGGUGAGAUUCAUACAACCCUUUAUUAUCUCAAGUUAGCUCAGAAAAAAGGGGGAGUUGAGGGCCAUCUCUGAUGAAUCAGAAGAUUCAGGCCAGCCCAUGCUUUACCUUUAGAUUUCCUGUAUCUGAUGGCUGUGUAAGUCAGAAAUGUUGGCCCCCUGACCCCCCUAUUCUGUCUCUUGAGAACAGGAGGACCUUGAAGAUUACAGGAAGUAAGAAACAGUCAGGGUGACUCCCCUGGUUAAUGUUCCUAUGAGGAAAAUAAUUGUUGUUACUUUGCCUUUGCUACUUUGGGUGAUGUUUCCAUGCAUUACAGAUAUAAAAACUCUAA